rnacentral:lncRNA from 1 species
GGAGCUCAGCUUAGAGAACAGGAAGUGGGAGCCACAUACCCCGAGCUGGCGGCUUGAGCCUGUGGUAUCUAGGCUCACCUCACUGCGGUUGGUGGAGGUGAUGGAGGUUGCAGCUUGGCCAGCAUGGUAGAAAGGUGGCAGGGCACGUCUGGCUUUUACCACCCAGUUGCUUCGAGCCAGGAGAUGGAGGAGUCAUCUGUUGCACGCUGGAGGCUGGAGCCUGCAGAUGGCAUGGUUCUGUGGCUCACCUCGCUGCAGUUGGUGGCAGAGACAGAGACUGCAGCUUGACCAGAGUGGUGGAGUGGUAGGAGAGUGUCUGCGGGGGCCUCCUGGAGGUGAUAUGUAUCUCAAGAGCACUCCACAACAAAGAUUCUGCCUGCAAUCCUCCACUUCAAGGUCUGUUCCAGGAAACCUGUGUAACACAGUUAUGCAUAGAGUGGUCUUAGGAAGCUGACUCUAACAUGAAAAUUUAGAGUUGGAUCUUUUGCUGACAUAUUGAAUAUUCAUAAGAGCAUAUGAUACAUUUGUCUAUCAUAAACAUGUCAUUUCAAAAAACCCUCAAAGUUGCCUUGUAGAACAUAAUUUUAAAACUAGUGUGUAGGAAUAUUUCAUAUCAGUUAUUCAGUCUUCUUAAUAUCUGAACCGAAAUUAAUCUUCCAUUCUGCUUUUAUUUAUAAAUAAUGAUUUAUUGUCAGAUUCAAUAAUUUAUAUUUUCAUUUAUUCUAAGGUAGGAAAUACCAGCAUAAAAAUAAAUUAUUUGAAACAAA